UGGGGAAUAUUGGACAAUGGGCGCAAGCCUGAUCCAGCCAUGCCGCGUGAGUGAUGAAGGCCCUAGGGCUGUAAAGCUCUUUCACCGGUGAAGAUAAUGACGGUAACCGGAGAAGAAGCCCCGGCUAACUUCGUGCCAGCAGCCGCGGUAAUACGAAGGGGGCUAGCGUUGUUCGGAUUUACUGGGCGUAAAGCGCACGUAGGCGGACUUUUAAGUCAGGGGUGAAAUCCCGGGGCUCAACCCCGGAACUGCCUUUGAUACUGGAAGUCUUGAGUAUGGUAGAGGUGAGUGGAAUUCCGAGUGUAGAGGUGAAAUUCGUAGAUAUUCGGAGGAACACCAGUGGCGAAGGCGGCUCACUGGACCAUUACUGACGCUGAGGUGCGAAAGCGUGGGGAGCAAACAGG
rnacentral:rRNA from 1 species